rnacentral:lncRNA from 1 species
ACAGAGUGAAUUCUGUCAGCUGAGGGGCAGUGUCCAGGGUCUUCCUGUCCUCCACACUCCAGUGGUACUAGUACUAGAAGAUAGGAUUUCUCUGUGUAGCCCUGGCUAUCCUGGACUUCACCUUGCAGACCAGGCUGGCCUUGAACUCACAGAUCCACUGGCCUCUGCCUCCUGAGUUCUGGGACUAAAGAGUGACAAGAGAAGAACGUCUGUGUGCUUGCCUGCCAGCUAAAGGAAUACAAAGCCAAGCGGUAGGCUCACCUUGUGAUCCCAGAACUCCAGAAGCUGAGGCAAGAGGCCCACAGGCCGGCAGCCUGGCUGCACAGAGAGACUCUACCGAAGAACAAUUAUUCAAACAAAUUCAAAAGAAAAAAUUCCAGUUCUAUCAGAUGUCCCCUGGCACGCCCAAGCACACCCCCUUCUUUCCUUUUCCGGGGGUGACUACAGUUGUGUGCAGCAUUCUCUUGCUUUAAAAAAAAAAGUUUGUA